CUCAGUGUCUGAGCAAGAUGCUCAGUGCUGCUGUCCCCUGCCAGCUGAUAAACCCUGGAGCUGGUCCCCUGGCACCGUGAACGGUGCAGCGCUGGCUCUCAGCUUUCUGUGCGGUACCUUGACACCUUGCAAAGUGCGCGGGGGCCAGAUUCUGAGGUCUUUAUUCAGCUUUUACUCAGCUCACUGACUCCAGUGAAUAAGGCUAGAGUGUAAUUUAGACCUCGGCAGCUGUGCAGAGGAGGGAAGGGGCACUCAUCCUUUCCCUCUGUGUUCCCUGGAGUGGCUCCCUGCUCACUGGCAGAUUUUAGAGAUUGUUGACUAUUAUGUAACAGAUGGCCUGACAGACCUCCGACUCUUUGCCGUGAUGGCUAGCUUGGCGCAGAAAAUAGCAGCACUGGAUAAUCAGUCAAGCAAACCGUGGAGCUGAGUCGUAAGGCUGGACUAAGGUCGGAUGAGCAGUGUGUGUCAAGCACUGGGGAGAGUGGCUGAUGAAAGAGCACACAGGAAAAGCUCUUCAACAGAAGAGAUGGACACAUGGAGAGUCAAGGAUGUUUUACACCUGGAAACUCGAGGCCUGAAGAUGAAGUAG
rnacentral:lncRNA from 1 species